AUGUUUGAUGCAUGGCCUAUCUUCCUUCGUGCUUAUACAUUCUGUUAUGUACCUAACUUAUAUUGGAAGCCUCUGCAGAAGAAGAGCAGGGAGAACAUCAACAACAAGAUGCAGCUGGUGAUGAAGAGCAGCAAGUACACGAUCGGCUACAAGACCGUCCUCUAGACGCUGCGCAGCUCCAAGGGUAUGGAUCUUUUUGUCACUGUUGAUUGA
rnacentral:rRNA from 1 species